CAGCAGCCGCGGUAAUACGUAGGUGGCAAGCGUUGUCCGGAAUUAUUGGGCGUAAAGGGCUCGCAGGCGGUUUCUUAAGUCUGAUGUGAAAGCCCCCGGCUCAACCGGGGAGGGUCAUUGGAAACUGGGAAACUUGAGUGCAGAAGAGGAGAGUGGAUUUCCACGUGUAGCGGUGAAAUGCAUAGAGAUGUGGAGGAACACCAGUGGCGAAGGCGACUCUCUGGUCUGUAACUGACGCUGAGGAGCGAAAGCGUGGGGAGCGAACAGGAUUAGAUACCCCUGUAGUCCCUGUCUCUUAUAC
rnacentral:rRNA from 1 species